AGAUUUUAACACGAAGUGGAGUGGCGAACGGGUGAGUAACACGUGGGUAACCUGCGCCAGAAGUAGGGGAUAACACCUGGAAACAGAUGCUAAUACCGUAGUAACAGAGAAAACCGCAUGGUUUUCUUUUAAAAGAUGGCUCUGCUAUCACUUCUGGAUGGACCCGCGGCGUAUUAGCUAGUUGGUGAGGUAAAGGCUCACCAAGGCAGUGAUACGUAGCCGACCUGAGAGGGUAAUCGGCCACAUUGGGACUGAGACACGGCCCAAACUCCUACGGGAGGCAGCAGUAGGGAAUCUUCCACAAUGGACGCAAGUCUGAUGGAGCAACGCCGCGUGAGUGAAAAAGGGUUUCG
rnacentral:rRNA from 1 species